rnacentral:tmRNA from 1 species
GGGGCCGUAAUGGUUUCGACAGGCGAGCGAAAGCUACUUUGUGAUUCAGGCCGAGAGUGAGUCGCCUCUCGUAAAUCCUAGGCUCAAAAAAAAAGUAAAUGCGAACAACAUCGUUCCUUUUGCUCGUAAGACAGCCACUGUUGCUGCCUAAUAAAAACCUCAUUUAGGUUCGAGCGUCUGUAGUUCGACUCCGUUAAGGAUUGCAGACAAAACCCCAACGGAUGCUCUAGUAAGUGUUCUCUGGGUGGCUUACUAGCUAAGAUUUAACCAGUGCAUCCUGUCAUCCGGGAUAAUGGAUGGUUCCCGCCCUGAGGGUCAGAUGGGCUAAGCCUGUGAAUGAGCGGAGAGUCAAUACCUUGUUUGGACAGCAGUUCAAUUCUGCUCGGCUCCAUUU